AUGGAUCAAAAAUUCAAAACAGAGGACCUUUUUAUUCAAACAAAAAUACUUGUACAUGUAUAAUAUUCUGUACAUACAACAAGAAAACAGUAAUCAAAUGGAAUGUCCAGUGAUGUUGAAAGCAAAAUCAUUUUUGUUAACAGAAAACAAUAGGACUACAAUAUAUUAAGGAAGAAUAAUUUUACUGGAGGAUAAAAAAUUUAAUACCUGGAAUCAGCAAUUUACAAAAUGUAUAUGAAAUUUAUUAAGAGAGAUAUAUUCAUGUACAGAAUGGUAACCCCACCAAAUAACCCAGGUGGUUCAAGUGAUUAUUAGCAGACAUUUUUGUUGAACUAAAGCAGGAUUAAAUAAAUGAAGCUUUAGCAUACUAUGGGCUCCAAAGUGUAGUAAAAAGAGGAUUUUUAAAUAUGACAGACUCAUAAACAUUAAAAUGUGCAUAAGUGAAAUGUUACAAUUUUUAGUAAAAAAUUCAGAUUAUUGACUCAGUUGUUUUCAUGAAAUUUUUUAUCAAAGCAAUAUCACUGUUAUAUAAUUAAUAAGAUUCCAUAUGUUUUA